rnacentral:lncRNA from 1 species
UUAAUUGUUAUAAAGCAUAGCCAAUAAAAAAUUAGAUCUGAAAAAAUUGACAAAAUAUAUUGAAUCUGUACACUUUUGAUAUUUUUUAUUUUUAAUAAUAUUUUACUAUUUUUGUGAAUAAAAUGUAAAAAAGUGCAAAGAUCAAUUUUAAAAAAACAUAUAAAUUAAAAAUACGAAAGUUAAUUAAAAAAUGAUAAAAAUGCAAUUCUUGAAUCUUUUGUGAUUUUUAUAAUUAAAACACAUAAAAC